AAAUUGAAGAGUUUGAUCAUGGCUCAGAUUGAACGCUGGCGGCAGGCCUAACACAUGCAAGUCGAACGGUAACAGGAAGAAGCUUGCUUCUUUGCUGACGAGUGGCGGACGGGUGAGUAAUGUCUGGGAAACUGCCCGAUGGAGGGGGAUAACUACUGGAAACGGUAGCUAAUACCGCAUAACGUCGCAAGACCAAAGAGGGGGACCUUCGGGCCUCUUGCCAUCGGAUGUGCCCAGAUGGGAUUAGCUUGUUGGUGAGGUAACGGCUCACCAAGGCGACGAUCCCUAGCUGGUCUGAGAGGAUGACCAGCCACACUGGAACUGAGACACGGUCCAGACUCCUACGGGAGGCAGCAGUGGGGAAUAUUGCACAAUGGGCGCAAGCCUGAUGCAGCCAUGCCGCGUGUAUGAAGAAGGCCUUCGGGUUGUAAAGUAC
rnacentral:rRNA from 1 species